GACGAACGCUGGCGGCGUGCUUAACACAUGCAAGUCGAACGAUGAAGCCCAGCUUGCUGGGUGGAAGAGUGGCGAACGGGUGAGUAACACGUGAGUAACCUGCCCUGAACUCUGGGAUAAGCACUGGAAACGGUGUCUAAUACUGGAUACGACCUAUCACCGCAUGGUGCGUGGGUGGAAAGAUUUAUCGGUUCUGGAUGGACUCGCGGCCUAUCAGCUAGAUGGUGAGGUAAUGGCUCACCAUGGCGACGACGGGUAGCCGGCCUGAGAGGGUGACCGGCCACACUGGGACUGAGACACGGCCCAGACUCCUACGGGAGGCAGCAGUGGGGAAUAUUGCACAAUGGGCGCAAGCCUGAUGCAGCAACGCCGCGUGAGGGAUGACGGCCUUCGGGUUGUAAACCUCUUUUAGUAGGGAAGAAGCGAAAGUGACGGUACCUGCAGAAAAAGCACCGGCUAACUACGUG
rnacentral:rRNA from 1 species